GACGUAGGGGGCCAGCGUUGUUCGGAAUUACUGGGUGUAAAGGGUUCGUAGGCGGUGCGGCAAGUCGGGAGUGAAAUCUCUGGGCUUAACCCAGAGGCUGCUUCCGAAACUGCUGUGCUUGAGUGUGGGAGAGGCGCGUGGAAUUGCAGGUGUAGCGGUGAAAUGCGUAGAUAUCUGCAGGAACACCCGUGGCGAAGGCGGCGCGCUGGACCACUACUGACGCUGAGGAACGAAAGCUAGGGGAGCAAACAGG
rnacentral:rRNA from 1 species